AACGAACGCUGGCGGCAUGCCUAACACAUGCAAGUCGAACGAAGCCUUCGGGCUUAGUGGCGCACGGGUGCGUAACGCGUGGGAAUCUGCCCUUGGGUUCGGAAUAACAGUUAGAAAUGACUGCUAAUACCGGAUGAUGUCUUCGGACCAAAGAUUUAUCGCCCAAGGAUGAGCCCGCGUAGGAUUAGGUAGUUGGUGGGGUAAUGGCCUACCAAGGCUACGACGCUUAGGGGGGGUGAGAGCCUGUUCCCCACCGAUGGAACUGAGAAACGGUCCAUACACCUACGGGUGGCCGCAGUCGAGAAUCUUCCGCAAUGGGCGAAAGCCUGACGGAGCGACGCCGCGUGAUCUAUGAAGUCCUUCGGGAUGUAAAGAUCUUUUAUGAGCGAGAAAGUUUAUUGAUCAGCUCAUGAAUAAGAGGUUGCUAAACUCGUGCCAGCCGCCGCAGUAA
rnacentral:rRNA from 1 species